rnacentral:rRNA from 1 species
UACGUAGGGACCAAGCGUUGUUCGGAUUUACUGGGCGUAAAGGGCGCGUAGGCGGCGCGGUAAGUCACUUGUGAAAUCUCUGAGCUUAACUCAGAACGGCCAAGUGAUACUGCAGUGCUAGAGUGUGGAAGGGGCAAUCGGAAUUCUUGGUGUAGCGGUGAAAUGCGUAGAUAUCAGGAGGAACACCUGAGGUGAAGACGGGUUGCUGGGCCAACACUGACGCUGAUGCGCGAAAGCCAGGGGAGCAAACGGG